UACAGAGGGUGCAAGCGUUGUUCGGAAUUAUUGGGCGUAAAGGGCGCGUAGGCGGUGCGGUAAGUCUGUAGUGAAAUCUCUGGGCUCAACUUGUAGUCUGCAUGAGAAACUGCCGGGCUUGAGUAUGGGAGAGGUGAGUGGAAUUCCUGGUGUAGCGGUGAAAUGCGUAGAUAUCGGGAGGAACACCUGUGGCGAAAGCGGCUCACUGGACCAUAACUGACGCUGAUGCACGAAAGCUGGGGGAGCAAACAGG
rnacentral:rRNA from 1 species